CCUACGGGGGGCAGCAGUGAGGAAUAUUGGUCAAUGGACGAGAGUCUGAACCAGCCAAGUAGCGUGAAGGAUGACUGCCCUAUGGGUUGUAAACUUCUUUUAUAUGGGAAUAAAAUGUUCCACGUGUGGGAUUUUGUAUGUACCAUAUGAAUAAGGAUCGGCUAACUCCGUGCCAGCAGCCUCGGUAAUACGGAGGAUCCGAGCGUUAUCCGGAUUUAUUGGGUUUAAAGGGAGCGUAGGUGGAUUGUUAAGUGAGUUGUGAAAGUUUGCGGCUCAACCGUGAAAUUGCAGGUGAAACUGGCAGGCUUGAGUACAGGAGAGGUGGGCGGAAUUCGUGGUGUAGCGGUGAAAUGCUUAGAUAUCACGAAGAACUCCGAUUGCGAAGGCAGCUCACUGGACUGCAACUGACACUGAGGCUCGAAAGUGUGGGUAUCAAACAGGAUUAGAUACCCCAGUAGUC
rnacentral:rRNA from 1 species